UGCAUAUGUGUGCUCCCGUGCGUGUGUUCACAUCGUUGUUGCGAUACACGCUCGAGGCGAGUAAGUAUCUUUCCAGGGGGUGUAUCAGUGCUUGUACAGGUCUAUGAAGAUCGUGUUUUCGUUCAAUCGAUACUGGGAAAAUCGUUUGAAAGGGAUAAAAUAAAAAAUAAGAAAUACAUAAGUGAUUACUCUGGUGCACGUUCUUGUGGUGGAUAAGUGAAGUAUUGAGUGUGUGUAUAUGUGUUUGUGCUCGAGGGGCUAUCUAUUGCCAGGGAAGAGGAAAAAUUUGCCUCUCGAUGCAGAUUACCGAUGAGGACGUCAAAGGAGUGCCGAUUUUCGUUCCCCAAAGAGCCCGAUUGUUUUCUAUAAGCCAGCAUCGAUGAGCCUUAGCGGUUCAUCCGUACCCACGUAGGUAUACGCGAAAAGGGAGUCUUCUUUCUGCCUAACAUACGACCGGUCUCCUGGAUAAUUCAAAGCGAUAAAA